UCUGCGUCGAGGGAGCCGCGCAGGCGCCCUUGGUACAGGGUGUCGCGGGGCUUUCAGGGCUCGAGAGAAAGAGUCCCUGCCUCAGGAGACACCUUGCUUCCGAGGGAGCGGUCCGUGGUGUCAGUGUCGGUUGCUUGGGACCCACGCUUGCGUCAUUUAGCGCCACCCCCCCCCAGGGGAACUGGCUUCCAGUCUGCGCCCUCUUCUCCGCGACCGACCGCGCUGGUGACUCACAGCAGGACUGGUCUCCAGGGUCCUCAACCCAACGGUGCCUGGAGGCGAUGAAGGGUGAUAACAGACUUCCUAAAAAUAGGGAACUGAUAACCUGGUGUCUAAAGUGUGUAGAGAGAAUCUUGGAAGAAACUUCAGGAGAGGAAGAAACAAGGCCAUCAAAACCUUCAAAGCGAAUAAGGAAUAAAGUUGAGUUGGAGAAUGCUCCCUCACCUAUAAAAUAUGUGCACCAGCCGUUCUUGUGUGCUGAGUGUGUGUGAGGCACCAGACUCUUAACACACCUUAUCUCAUUUGAUCUUCAUGAAACCGGGUGGCAUUAUCAGUUGCAUUUUGUCAAUGAGGAAGCUGACUUUCAGAGAGAUGAGAUGAUUUACCUGUGGUCACCGUGAGGAGGCCACAAUCAGAAGCCCAGAGAAUUGUACCAGCAUAAGUACCACUAGCUUGGACUAAAAUAGGCAAAGACAGUUCAAAUGAAAUGAGGACACUGGGCACUUAGCGAAGCAGACUGAACAAAUUACUCUGCUGCAAACAAGGGAAAGGAGGAAUGACCCAGAGGAUGGAGCCAAGAGCCCGGAGGGUGAAGAGCCACAGAGAAUCACAUUCCCUGCUCCUGGAGCAGGGGGAAUUGGUGACAUUUGCGCUAUUGGAUCUCAGAUUUCCUAAAGACCUAAGGACCGCUAUGUACCUUUUAUUACCCCUUUUUAAGUGGGAGUUUCUAUUAUGAUUUUCCUGUCUCUGUCUUCCCAUUGUAUGUUGGAUCUGUACAGGAAAAGAUAACUUACAGGAAAGUUGCAAGUUUAGUACAAAUACUUUUUUGGACUCUUUGAGAGUAAAUUUCUGACAUGAUGCCACAUUACCCAAAACCUUAUGUGCAUAUUUCCAACAUAACCACAAUCAUCAAAAUAAAUAAACAUUAUAUGUUACUAUCAUCUUUUUGUGUGUGUGUGAUGGCCCAACAGGGCAAAUACUUUUAUUUUUUUUUAAUUAAUUUUUAUUGGAGUAUGGUUGCUCUACAAUGUUGUGUUAGUUUCUAAUGUACAGCAAAGUGAAUCAGCUAUAUGUAUACAUAUAUUCCCUCUUUUUUGGAUUCCCUUCCCGUUUAGGUCACCACAGAACACUGAGUAGAGUUCUCUGAGCUAUACAGUAGUUUCUCAUUAAUUAUCUAUUUUACACAUAGUGUCAAUAGUGUGUAUACGUCAAUCCCAAACUCCCAAUUCAUCCCAUCCACCCACUUCCUCCCUUGGUGUCCAUUCAUUUGUUCUCUACAUCUGUGUCUCUAUUUUGCAAAUAAGAUCAUUUAUACCAUUUUUCUAGAUUCCACAUAUAUGCGUUAACAUAUGAUAUUUGUUUUUCUCUUUUUUUUUUUUUCUCGGUACGCGGGCCUCUCACUGUUGUGGCCUCUCCCGUUGUGGAGCACAGGCUCCGGACGCGCAGGCUCAGCGGCCAUGGCUCACGGGCCCAGCCGCUCCGCGGCAUGUGGGAUCUUCCCGGACCGGGGCACGAACCCGUGUCCCCUGCAUCGGCAGGCGGACUCUCAACCACUGCGCCACCAGGGAAGCCCUCUCUUUCUUUUUUUUUAUAUGUAACUCUUUUUUUAUUCUUUCAUUUUUAAAUGGCAGUGAAUUGCUUUUUUUUUUCUGUUCCUUUUAUAAUUUUUUUAAAUUGGGAUAUAGUUGUUUUACAAUGUUGUGUUAGUUUCUACUGUACAGCGAAGUGGAGUUCCCUGUGCUAUACAGCAGGUUCUUAUUAGUUAUCUGUUUUAUACAUAUUAGUGUAUCUAUGUCUAUCCCAAUCUCCCAAUUCAUCCCAGUCUCCCCUUCCCCCCAUUGGUGUCCAUACAUUUGUUCUCUACAUCUGUGUCUCUAUUUCUGCCUUGCAAACUGGUUCAUCUGUACCAUUUUUCUAGAUUCCACAUUGUUUUUCUCUUUCUGACUUACUUCAUUCUGUAUGACAGUCUAGGCAUAGACUGUUGGGGCCAGCUUCACCCUCACCAGUUCCCUGGUGAACGACUCUUGAAUUUGUGUUCUAACUACAAUAGUUCUUCCCCUCUUCCCUUCCCACAUUAUCAAGAUGAUCAUAAGCAUUCAUUAACAAGUAUUUUAACAAAUAUCUAUUCAGUGCCAACUACGUGUCCGGUUCAUUUCUAGGAGCUGAGGAUAUAGUAGUGAACAAGAGAGAAAGUUCUUGCACUCAUGCAGCUGAUCUUCUAUUG